rnacentral:antisense_RNA from 1 species
UCCAAUGGGCGGGCUGUAGUGGGGGAGCCGCAAGGCUCGCCGGUCUGUUUGUAUCCCGGUCUUCCAAUCCCGCUACCUGCCCGCUCACCCAC